UUUUUUUUUCUUUUUGAGAGCCACGGUCAUGUCUCUCUUAGAAGAAAAUUAGUGAUUCUAUGAGAAGUAAAUCCGUACCUCUUGUGGUAGGGAAAGAAACACGUUUUUCUUUUUCUUUUAUGAGGGACACGACCGUUUCUCUCGUGUAAACAAAUCUAUAACUCUAUGAUAAGUAAAUGUAUGCCUCACGUAGUAGGAACAGAAAGAAAACGUGCUUUUAUCCUUUUGCGAGGGGCACGGGCGUGCCUCUCAUGGACGCAAAUUCGUAACUUCAUGAAAAGUAAAUGUUUGCUUCUCGGGAAAGGAAAAAAUACGUUUUUUCAUGCUAAUAUUUUUUUGAAACCUAAGAAAACCCUUGAAAAACGUCUUAAAAUGGAAACGCGUGAACAUUGUGAAAUCAUUAAUUGAGAAGUACUCUUUCUAAAGAUCAUCUCCACCUUCCCAUGUUGUAACAACUGACGCAUUGCAUGUGUGUCACUUGUCACAACUUAAAAGUUUUCCUUUUUUACGUAGAUCUGUAAUUUUAUAAUGUUUUAUCUCUAAAAUUGUGCAUCCAAAUCUUAAAGCGUUUUCAUUAAUGGGUUUCUCGCGCUGAGAUCUUCAAAAUUAAAACCUAUCUUGAUAGUUUUUGACAAACUUUUUUCAUAAAAAAAAAAUGAAAAAACUAGGCCUCUCAUGAUAGAUAAAACAGAAAACGCGUUUUUUUCCUCGUCAUGCUUUUCGCAAAAAAAACGCAUUUUUUUUUAUUUCCGAGAGGCAUGGUCGUGCCUCUCGAGGAAGAAAAACCGUGCCUCUCACAAAAAAAAACAGCACACCUUUUUUUUCAUUUCCGACAGACAUCUCGGAAAAGCAAAGCCGUGCCUCUCCCGAAAGAAAAAAAUGCCUCUCGUAGAAAAAACAGAAAACGUGUUUUUUUCAUUUUUAAGAGGCAAGGUCGUAUCUCUUGCGAAAGCAAAACCGUGCCUCUCAUAAAAAAAUAUGUUUUUUGCGUGAAAAUGUGAAUAAAUAUCAUCAAAAAGCAAAGAAAGACUGAUAAAAAAUCAAAAGACAAAAAAACCGGAUCUCAAUCUGUUCUUAUGACUUAUGAUUUUUUUGCUUGAGCAGUUCUUAUGACUUAUGAUGUGUAUCAUAAAAGAACAUGCUUGUUGGGCGCCACUAUGCCUCGCCUUCAGCGAGAGAGGAGACCUAAAUGGGUCGGCCCAGUGGCAGGGGAAACCACAACCUCCUUUUUUCAGAAUCAUAAACUUUUUUCUAUAUCUGAUAAACCCUUUCUUCAAAAUCAAUGAACUUUUUAUCAUUUUUUGAACUCGAUGAAUUUUUUUGAAAAGUCGAUAGUCUUUCUCAAAUUUGAUGUUUUGCUUUCAAAUUUGAACAAAUUUUCUUCAAAUGGAUGAAUUUUUUCAUAUUUGAUGAACGCUUUUCUCUAAUGGAUUAACUUUUUUCAAAUCUGAUGUUUUUAUCAUUUUUUGUAAAAUUUGAUGUUUUUUUAGAAAAAAUGAACUUUAUUAAAGUUCUUGAAUUUGUUUUUGAAAUACAUGAAAACAAAUUAAAUUCACGAUUUUCCCUUUUUUAGUCUUCUAUUUUUCUUGUUUUUUCUCAAAAUUCAAUGGUUUACGAGUUGACUGAUCAACUGUGACCAGUCCAAUACGAAAAAAGUACAUCUACAUUUGUUUCAAAUGGAUGAAGCUUUUCUCAUAGGAUCGUGAUAACACACAUACGUAUGAUAGGAGCAACAACAGCCCGCACGUCCGAUGAUCACAUGUUGAGCCAUAUCACCGCAUGCAUGCACAAGUUACAAAAUUGUUGAUAUCAUAUGAAAUCUUAUGUCUAUAGUUUUUAAAAUAUUUUAUCUCUUAAAUAAAAAAUCCAAUUGAAAAACCAUUUUCACCCUUAAAUCUGUUGCGACGAGUUCUUUAAAACUAGAUCUCAUAUUGAUAUGUUUCGACGACUUUUUUUCGGUGUUAAAAGUUAUCACGUUCAUUGCACAUAAUUUGUCAUCAUGAUUACACUGAAGUUGUUAUGAUGAAAAUGGAUUUUUAAUUAGAUUUUUUGUUUAAGAGAUAAAACACUUUUAUGUCUAGAAAAUUAUAAAAAAAAUUACUAAUGUCAUAUAUUUAAUGUGAGAAGAUGGAUGGUUACGAAGACGUGUCAACCAUUUUGGCAAAUCUUAUUUGGCGACCGUUAGCAAACGGCGGCUGCAGCGCAACCCCUCAAUUAGCGAUCUGGGCCGGCCCAUGUAAGUGUGCUUCAGGAGUGGAAGUCGAGAUCAAUUACUUCAUCUACAACGAAUAUAACCACUACGCCAUCGACUAACUAGUGAUUCCUAAUUUAUUUUCUCUUAUUUGUUCUCCUAUUUCACGUGAAUCCUCCCAAACCGGUUUUUUACUGGUUUGUGGUCAUUCCGGGAUGAAUUAUUUGUUUUUCCUUUAUUUUGUGCUUUUUUCAACUCGUUUUUUUUCAAAUCAAUGAUCUCCAUUUUUCUGAUUAAAAAAUCAAUGAACUUUUCCAAUUUGGAUCUAUUUUUAAGUUUAUUAACUUUUUUAACAAUCGGUAAACUUUUUUUCAAAUUUGCUGAACUAUUUAAUAAUCCAAUGAACUUUUUAUCAAAUUAGUUGAAUUUUUUUUAAGUUUGAUCUUUUUUAAAAACAAUUGAUGAACUUUUUGCAAAUGUGAUGAACUUCUUUUCAAAUCUAGUUAAGUUUUUUAAUUAUUGAUGAAUUAUUUUUAAAGAUCUAUUAACUUUUUUCAAAUAUGAUGAACUACUUUUCAAAUCAUAAUUGUUUUCUUCAAAUAGAUGACCUUAUUUUCAAAGUCCAUGAUUUUAUUUUUCUGAAACUCGAGAACUUUUUUACACAUUGAUGAACUUAAUUUUAAAAUUUGAUGAUCUUUUUAAUUGUUUUUAACUUUUUGUGAAAGUCUAUGAACUAUUUUUUUUUCAAAAUUGAUGAACUGUUUUAAAACCAAUAAUUUUUUUUCAAAUUUGAUUAAAGUCGAGUAAUAUAUUUUUAAAAAUCUAUGAGCAUAUUUCAAUUUUGAUGAACUUUUACCAAAUCUGAUGAACGUCUUUCAGAUCGAUUAUCUUUUUUUAUAAAAAAAAUCUUGUUCGCAUCAAUGUUUUUUUUUCAAAAUCGAUUAACUUUUUCCAAAUUCAAUGAACUUUUUUUCUAAAUUCGGUAAAUAUGUUUUAAAAUUAAUGUCCACAAAUCCAAAAAUAUUAUCACGAUAUUUUUCCAACUAUUAUGUAUCAAUGAAUAGUGAUGCGAGCUUGUUAUUAAGACUUUCAUACUAUAAAAAAUCAGUUAAGUCUGCUAGGUGUAGUGGUUAGUGAGUUCGGUUGUGUAAUUGACGUCUUUAGUUCGAAUUGUGUAGCUGCUACUAUUUUUGGGAUAUUUCUGCGCACGUUUGCUGGCCGAAGUGUUUUAUGAGCCGCCCAAUUAGCAGGGAACGUGGGCGUGGCGCCGGCUAGGAGCUCCCGACCAUAUUGACUCGUGCCAUAUACUCCCUCCGUCCGCUAAAGACUGCACGUUUAGUGAUUUACACAUAGAUCAAGGAAAGAGCUGACUUUGCUCCCAUGACCUAAUUAACACAGAACAUUGAAAGACACAUGUGUGCAUGCAACCAAUGAAAAAAGACCAUUAAAUGAAUAUUGGUUGCAUGCAGUAAUUAAGGCAGAAAUCAAAGGGGAUAAAAUACAAUAUGCAUUGGGGUUGUAGAUUAACACUCUUUCUUGGACAAUUUAUAAAUACUAGAUGUCCAGUCUUUUCCGGACGGAGGGAGUAUGUGGGCAUUACAAUUUCAGUUUUCAUAUUGGACAAACGAGCUGUUAGGGGAGGAAACUCGCGAGAUGUGAUGGCGAUCUUCUACAUGGCCCGGCCCAUGACCGUGCGUGCGUGAGCUUUCCUAAAGGAGCUGCCUACAUUGACCCUGCUUUCUUUACGUUCCUUUUCUGUUUUGAGAGGAGAUUUCCCUCAUUCGUGACCGAAGCGCAACCCCUCUGUUGACGCGUCGAGCACGAAGCAUGGUUGAUCUCGGACAAUGUCAUGCUGUGGUGUGCCCGCCGAGCGAGGCAUCGGUCACGGGAUGCGGCGGAGGCCCUCGCGGCGGCAGAUGUUGGAGAGGUGGAAUCACACUCUCCGACGUCCCGUAGGGUGCACCACUUCGCUCGACGCAACCGCGUCGUGGUGAACGCCGGCUCCUCCCACGAAGGAUACGUCAUUGACCUCACGUCGACUAGCACCGUCCGGGUUAUGGGCUCCGACGAGGAAGAUUAAGGCAUGGGAGACGGUGGGAGCUCGACUCCCGUGAGCCGACUAGUGUCUCAUGUCCUACUCUACCUCAUCGGCAACCGGACCGACAAUAUGAGGGGCGCAGCCAGCCGCCGGACAUGGGCACGAUGGAGUCGGACGAGCUCCGCUUAGCAUUAGGUUUACCUUGAAUGUAAUAGUAUGGAUUUGAGGUUUCUAAUUUAAGGUAUCCGGAUGUCGUAGACUGCAUUAUUUAGAGCAACCCCAACGGAAGGACCCAUUUUCGUCCGUCCGUGUUUGUAUAGAUGGGCGUGGACAAAAGUGAUGGCCCAACACGGAGACCCAUUUCCAUUUUGCGUCCGCUUUGUGUCCGCGCGAAACCAUUGUUGUCGCAAAUUUGGGUCAUAUUUGGGUCGCCAACGAACACAAAAACAGACUUUUUUGUGCCUGCAUCGUCCGCAUGUGUCCGGCCUGACCCACUUGUCACACAGCCACCCACCCAUCUCUGCAUACUUAUUUAAUUCGCUGGCCCACCCCAUCCAUUUUCUUCUAUUAUUUUACUGACAUAGUGUUGCUGUCCACUUGCUUCCCGUUGGGUGCAUGUGCUGACUCAUUUAAAAAACAGAUACGAACAAGCAGACGGAUGACUCAAACGAGUAAAAUGCGGACAAAAACGUUAUCCGUUUGGAUCGAUACAUUGAAGUUGCCUUUUAAGGCGUGACCUGUUAAUGUAUGCAUGCGUCUGAAAACGUUCGCGAGUGUUUGAGGAACCGGAUCCGGCCAUAGAUGCUCUAAUGACCGAAAAGUGUCCUUUUUGUUCGGCAUGAGAAAACACAACUAGAUACCAACCUACAGUAGUAGAUCAAGAAAUACCAAUUAAAGCUUAAAAUGUAUGCAUGUGUAUAUGAAUACUUGCGUGUUUAAAAAUAUUAUAGACUCAAAAGAAAAGAAAAUUCCAUUCAUUAAAAUGGCCGGCACACACUUCGAGCAGCCCGGUCGUUUUGGUACCGCAGAAAAAUCCUGCACUCCAAUCAUUUGGCAACCAGAUGCUAGCAGUUGACAAUAUGAGCUUGAACUUAGCUGACACCCACAUAUAUUGGGUAAGUAACUGCAACGAUCGAUUACUACUACCAAUUACCACUAACGAGCUUGAGAUUUGCAACGGGCCUGAGACAGUCGCUGAGACAAGGGAAUCAAUUAAGCAAGCACAGGUGUUACAACACUUUUUAGUGAUUGCCACUUCAGUCAUAUAGAGUGUCAAAAUCACUUAUUACAGCAGUACGCAACUCGACUCGUUCUCAGCACAACACAUAUCAUCCUCCUCCUCUACGUUAAACCCGGAGGCAGCAGCUGUCAGACGACCACUAAAACAUAGCAGCACAAUUACGGUAGAAAAUAAUCCAGCCAUAUGCAGACAAGGAUUAAUAAUUAUGGUAAAUAAUUAAGUAGCCACAUCCAUCCAUGCNNNNN
rnacentral:lncRNA from 1 species